rnacentral:rRNA from 1 species
AUUGAACGCUGGCGGCAGGCCUAACACAUGCAAGUCGAACGAGUGGCGGACGGGUGAGUAAUUUCUGGGAAACUGCCUGAUGGAGGGGGAUAACUACUGGAAACGGUAGCUAAUACCGCAUACCAUCAGAUGUGCCCCGAUGGGAUUGGCUUGUUGGUGGGGUAACGGCUCACCAAGGCGACGAUCCCUAGCUGGUCUGAGAGGAUGACAAGCAACAAUGGAAUGGAGACACGGUCAAGACUCCUACGGGAGGCAGCAGUGGGGAAGAUUGCACAAUGGGCGCAAGCCGGAUACAGCCAUGCCGCGGGUAGGAAGAAGGCCUUCGGGUUGUAAAGUACUUUCAGCGGGGAGGCGUUACCCGCAGAAGAAGCACCGGCUAACUCCGUGCCAGCCGCCGCGGUAAUAC